rnacentral:rRNA from 1 species
CACUAUGCCUAGCCUUAAACAUUGAUGAUAUCUUACAAUUAUCAUCCGCCUGGGAACUACGAGCAUCAGCUUAAAACCCAAAGGACUUGGCGGUGCUUUAGACCCACCUAGAGGAGCCUGUUCUAGAACCGAUAACCCCCGUUCAACCUCACCCUUCCUUGUUCCUCCCGCCUAUAUACCACCGUCGUCAGCUUACCCUGUGAAGGAUUAAUAGUAAGCAAAACUGGCAAAGCCCAAAACGUCAGGUCGAGGUGUAGCGUAUGGAAGGGAAAGAAAUGGGCUACAUUCACUAAUUCAGUGCAUACGAAUGACACCCUGAAACACGUGUCUGAAGGAGGAUUUAGCAGUAAGCAGAAAAUAGAGUGUUCUACUGAAACUGGCCCUGAAGCGCGCACACACCGCCCGUCACUCUCCCCGAGCUAAGACUCUUAAGUAAAUAAAUACCUAUAACUGCAAAGGGGAGGCAAGUCGUAA